GUGUUUUAAAUUUAAAAUUUUAAUAUUUAUUGUUUUCAUAAAUACAUUACAUUACUGUCAUUUACAUUUUAAGAAAUGUUGCAAAUUAAUGGUAGGACGUAGAAUGUCCAUCAACUUUAUUUGACGUUAAAUUGGUUUUUGACUCCUAUUCUUAUGUUAUUGUUACGUACUGGACGCCUGUAAAAUCUAAGAAUCUUUGGAUUUUAAACUAAUCUAAGUUAACAUUUGUUAGUUGAACAUUCAAAAGCCUGAGAUUCUACAAUGGAACAGAAAAAUGAUAUGUUAUGUGUCGAAGAUAUUGUUUAUAUGCUACUUGAAUCAUUAAAGUCUAAUGGCACAUUUGAUGAAAUCCGUAGGCAUUGUAUUACUGAUAUUGAUGCUAAGCCUACUUAUCAAAACUGGAAACAGCGAAUAGAAUCAAAUGUCAACAAAUUUUUAAGUAAAGUUAAAUAUACUCCUGAAUUAAAUAAAAACACUGUUCGAGAACGACUUCGAAAACAUUUACUUGAUGGACGUGAGACUCAAGAUAUUGAAGAGGGAGCUGAUAGAAUACUUACUCAAGUUCUUGCGCCUCGUACACUAAGUAUUUUUGAACCUAAAAUAGCAAUUGCUGUUGAUGAAUACUUGGGAAUCAAAAAAGAGGCUCCUCCAAUUGAACUUAAUGGUUUAAAAGAAUCUAGUAUGAAUUUGGUAAAUGAAUCUAACAUUGAAAAUAGUACUGUUUACAAUCCCAAAAUAGAUUUUAUCCCAAGUGCUGAUAACAUAGCUUGUGAUAAAACACAAAAAGAUGAUAGAAAAGACUUAAGAUCAGACAAAAAAGAAAAAUCUUCUAGUCUUUGUAAGGAGCCCAAAUCAUUGAAUGGUAAUCGAACUGACGAUGAAAAUGAUACUGAAGGAUCUUUAAAACAAAAAAGUAGUCAACACAAAAAUAAAACUUCUAUAUCUGACAAGUCUAAAUCUUCCUCUGGUAAUCAUAAAAAUAGUAAAAAAGAUAAUAGUUGUAAAGAAGUUGAUAGAUCUAAAGAUAUAGUUGACAAACCUAAAGAUAUCAUUAAUAAAUCCAAUGACUUUGUUGACAAAUCUAAAGAUGUUAUUGAAAAAUCUAAAGAUGUUAUUAAGCCUAAAGAUGUUGACAAAUCUAAAGAUGUUAGUAAGCCUAAAGAUAUUGUUGACAAGUCUAAAGAUGUUAGUAAGCCUAAAGAUAUUGUUGACAAGCCUAAAGAUAUUUUUGACAAAUCUAAGGAUAUUAUUAAUAAGUCCAAAGAUGUUAACGACAAAUCUAAAGAUAUUAAUGAUAAAUCUAAAGAUAUUGUUAAUAAAGCUAAAGAAAUAGUUGAAAAGUCCAAAGACAAAUUAUUGUUGUCAAAAAAUUCUAAUUCUUAUAGUUCAAGUCAUAAAAGUAACCGAACAGAUACAAAAAGAACUAAACGUUCUGUUGAAGAGAAAAAAAAGUCGUCUAGUUUUUGUAAAGAGCCUAAAUUAUUAAACGGUAAUCGAAGUGAUGAUGAAAGUAAUGCAGGAGGAUCUUCAAAACAAAAAAGUUCUAUUCAUAAAAAUAAGAGUUCUUCAUCUGACAAGACUAAGUCAUCAUCCAGUAAUCAUAAAAGUAGUAGAAAAGAUAAUACUAGUACAGACGUUGUUGAUAAGUCUAAAGACAAGUCUUUGUCAAAGAAGUCUAGUAGUACUGAUCUUGAUAAGUCUAAAGACAAAUCUUUAUCAAAAAAAUCUAGUAGUUCUGACAUUGAUAAGUCUAGAGACAAAUCUUUGUCUAAGAAAUCGAGUAGUUCUGAUAUUGAUAAGUCUAAAGCCAAAUCUUUGUCAAAGAAAUUUAGUAGUUCUGACAUUGAUAAGUCUAAAGAUAAAUCUUUAUCAAAAAAAUCUAGUAGUUCUGACAUUGAUAAGUCUAGAGACAAAUCUUUGUCUAAGAAAUCAAUUAGUUCUGACAUUGAUAAGUCUAAAGACAAAUAUUUGUCAAGAAAUUCUAGUAGUUCUGAUAUAGAUAAACCUAAAGAAAAAUCUUUUUCAAAGAAUCCUAAUAGUAUUGAUGUUGAUAAGUCUAAAAACAAAUCUUCUUUGUCAAAAGAUUCUACUUGCUCAAGCCAUAAAAGCAACCGUAAUGACUCUAAAAGGCUUAAAAUUUCUCAACCGGAAAAAAAUAAAUUACCUUUAAAUAAUAAAAGUAUUGAAGAAAAUAGAACAGAAAACCCAGAAGAACCAGAGUGGAAUGAUUUUCUAAGUUCUAAUAUAACAAAUGAUGAACAAGAUGCAGCUAAUGUUUUAUUAUCAAUGAGUACAAUUUCUUAUGAAAGUUCUCAUAGUGAAAUUAUAACAGAAAAUAUAAUUUUUGUAGAAAAUUCUUCUUCUACUGCCGAAACUUUAGAAACAUCUAAAAUAGAUAAUGAAUUAGAAGCUAAAGAAAAUGUUGAUCAACAGAAAAUUCUACCAUCUAAUGAUGAUAGUGAUGAUAUUAAAGAAAACUUUCGAUUAAAAUCAAAUAAUUUAGAACCAUCACAUAUACUAAAUACUGUAAAAAGUGUAUCAAACAUUAGCCAUUUGUUUGAUAAAGUAUGUUCUGUUGAUAUUGAAAGAUUACCAUGUAAUGAUAUAAAAUUGCAACGUAACUCUGUAAAUAAUGUUGAAAUAACUGAAAAAUACCAAAAACCAGCUGAAAUAGUAGUGGAUGAAAAAGAAUUAAAAAUAUUAAAUGUUGAAAUAAAUUUGGAUCAAAGUGAAAAAGAAAAAACUAGUGAUAUCUUAAAAGUACCAAAGCUAAAAUUAAAACUAUUACCAAAUCAAAUUGAUUCUUUUAAUAAAUGUAAGAGAAAAAAACAUCAUAAAGAUAAAGAAUAUAAAAAAUUAAAACUUUCAAAAUCAUUUGAUAUUCCUAGUGAAAUUAGUGUAUCUGUUACUGAUAGUGUAUCAACAAAUAUAAUGAAUGAAAAAUCUAAUGAUGUGGAUGUAAAAAUUAAUGAUUCAGCAAGUACCUCAUUUAAACAAAUAUUACACAAGGAAAUGGAAAAUAAUAGCGUAAAAGUAUUAGAUGAUGACAAAUCACAUAACUCCUUCAAAGGAUUUUCCGAAGUAGAAACUAUCCCAUGUAAAAACUAUGGAAUACUAAAAAACAUAAUCAAAACCUUACAAGAAAAGAUGAAUAAUCAUGAUGUAAUUAAUGAUGGGUUCAAAGGUUUUACCAGAGCAGAAACACGUCCAUGUAAACAUCGAAAUAUUGUUUAUGCAGAGCUUAAUAAGUUGAAAGAUAGUAUAUCCAAUAUGGACUUUAUUGGAUUUUCUGAAAAAGAAACUGAAAUGAGUAUUGGACAUAAAUGUGUUUUACAACAACUAGAACUCGCACAAAAACAAAGCAAUAUAGAUAAUCAUCAACAAAAUUUGAAGUGUGGUGAAAAUGGGAAAACGUUUAAUGGAGUUGUUAUGGCAGCAUAUUUAUAUAAAAGUGACGAUGAUAAUAAUGAUACAACACCAAAAAAAAUCUACCAGAAAUCAAUUAAUGAUAGUAAAAAAGAUUGUCCUACUGUUAAUAAUAAUAAUCACAAUCAUAAUAAUUGGGUUGUUGAACAAGAAAUGAAAUAUAAACUUUUACCUGUAAAAGUAAAACUUGAAAGAUUAAUGGAGUAUGGAUGUAAUAAUACUAAACGUGUGUCUAACUCUCCACAGCUACCUAUUUAAUUAUUAACAGUAAAAAUAAAAUUUAUAAUAAGAAUCAUGUUUUCAAUUUUUUCUUCAAAAAUAUUUGAAAAAAGGGUCAAAAAGAAGUGUACAUGUUUAAUAUGCAUUGUCAACAAACCGAACUCUGUAUCUAUUUAAAAUACGAUUGUGUAAUUUUUUCCUACUUUUUCAUUACAAUCGACAAAAAAUAAAUUUAUUAUU